ensembl:snRNA U6 U6 spliceosomal RNA
GUGCUCGCUUCGGCAGCACAUAUACUAAAAUGGGAACGAUACAGAGAAGAUUAGCAUGGCCCCUGGUCAAGGAUGACACGCAAAAAAUAAUCAUGUAAGUUU